rnacentral:rRNA from 1 species
UGAGUACGAGAUGCUACGGCGUCGAUGCAGUCUAUGUCAUACUUCCAAGAAAAGCUUGCACUGUCAUAAACAAAUAAUGCCUGUACCAUAACCGACACAGGUGGGUAGGUAGAGUAUACUAAGGGGCGCGAGAUAACUCUCUCUAAGGAACUCGGCAAAAUGACUCCGUAACUUCGGGAGAAGGAGUGCCUUAUUUAUAAGGUUGCAAUAACAAGAUCCAAGCAACUGUUUACCAAAAACACAGGUCUCCGCUAAGUCGUAAGACGAUGUAUGGGGGCUGACGCCUGCCCAGUGCCAGAAGGUUAAAGAAGUUGGUAGCAUUCGCGAAGCUGAUAACUGAAGCCCUGGUGAACGGCGGCCGUAACAAUAACGGUCCUAAGGUAGCGAAAUUCCUUGUCGGGUAAGUUCCGACCCGCACGAAAGGCGUAAUGAUUUGGAUACUGUCUCGGAGAGGGGCUCGGUGAAAUAGACUUGUCUGUGAAGAUGCGGGCUACCUGCACCUGGACAGAAAGACCCUAUGAAGCUUUACUGUAACUUGAGAUUGAAAUUGGACUUUAUUUGCGCAGUAUAGGUGGGAGGCGUUGAGAAUAAUCUUGCGGGAUUAUUGGAGCCAUCAGUGAGAUACCACUCUUGUAAUGUUAGAUUUCUAACUUUGGAUCAUUAUCUGGUCAAAGAACAGUUUCAGGCGGGCAGUUUGACUGGGGCGGUCGCCUCCCAAACGGUAACGGAGGCGCACAAAGGUUUCCUCUGAACGGGUAGAAAUCGUAUCUAGAGUGUAAAGGCAUAAGGAAGCUUGACUGUGAGACCUACAAGUCGAGCAGGGACGAAAGUCGGUCUUAGUGAUCUGACGGUGCUGAGUGGAAAGGCCGUCACUCAACGGAUAAAAGUUACUCUAGGAUAACAGGCUGAUCUCCCCCAAGAGUUCACAUCGACGGGGAGGUUUGGCACCUCGAUGUCGGCUCAUCGCAUCCUGGGGCGGUAGUACGUCCCAAGGGUUGGGCUGUUCGCCCAUGAAAGCGGUACGCGAGCUGGGUUUAGAACGUCGUGAGACAGUUCGGUCCAUAUCCGGUGUAGGCGUUAGAAUAUUGAGAGGAGCCUUCUCUAGUACGAGAGGACCGAGAAGGACAUACCUCUGGUGUACCAGUUAUCGUGCCAACGGUAAACGCUGGGUAGCUAUGUAUGGAGUGGAUAACCGCUGAAAGCAUCUAAGUGGGAAGCCCACCUCAAGAUAAGUAUUCUCA